rnacentral:rRNA from 1 species
AUUGAACGCUGGCGGCAGGCCUAACACAUGCAAGUCGAGCGGAUGAAGGGAGCUUGCUCCUGGAUUCAGCGGCGGACGGGUGAGUAAUGCCUAGGAAUCUGCCUGGUAGUGGGGGAUAACGUCCGGAAACGGGCGCUAAUACCGCAUACGUCCUGAGGGAGAAAGUGGGGGAUCUUCGGACCUCACGCUAUCAGAUGAGCCUAGGUCGGAUUAGCUAGUUGGUGGGGUAAAGGCCUACCAAGGCGAGGAUCCGUAACUGGUCUGAGAGGAUGAUCAGUCACACUGGAACUGAGACACGGUCCAGACUCCUACGGGAGGCAGCAGUGGGGAAUAUUGGACAAUGGGCGAAAGCCUGAUCCAGCCAUGCCGCGUGUGUGAAGAAGGUCUUCGGAUUGUAAAGCACUUUAAGUUGGGAGGAAGGGCAGUAAGUUAAUACCUUGCUGUUUUGACGGUACCAACAGAAUAAGCACCGGCUAACUUCGUG